rnacentral:rRNA from 1 species
ACGUAGGUGGCGAGCGUUACCCGGAUUUACUGGGCGUAAAGCGCACGCAGGCGGUCUGUCAAGUCGGAUGUGAAAUCCCCGGGCUCAACCUGGGAACUGCAUCCGAAACUGGCAGGCUAGAGUCUUGUAGAGGGGGGUAGAAUUCCAGGUGUAGCGGUGAAAUGCUUAGAUAUCACGAAGAACUCCAAUUGCGAAGGCAGCUCACAGGACUGUAACUGACGCUCAGGUGCGAAAGCGUGGGGAGCAAACA